GUGUGUGUGUGUGUGUGUGUGUGUGUGUGUGCGAAAGAGAGAGAGAGAGAGAGUAGUCACCGGUCGAACAACGUCAGAGAACAACGGAGGACGUGAUUGAGCCCCGUCUGAGCCGCGGGUACCGGAGUGACUCCUCGUGAAUCACCUCGUGAUGGUGGUUCCGACUAGAGAAAAAAAAA